CCCUCCCUCUUGCUUCAUGCCUAACACAUGCAAGUCGAACGAGACCUUCUGGUCUAGUGGCGCACGGGUGCGUAACGCCUGGGAACCUUCCCUUAGGUUCGGAAUAACUCCCCGAAAGGGGUGCUAAUACCGGAUAAUGUCUUCGGACCAAAGAUUUAUCGCCUUUGGAUGGGCCCGCGUGGUAUUAGCUCGUUGGGAGGGUAAAAGCCUACGAAGGCGACGAUCCAUAGCUGGUAUGAGAGGAUGAUCAGCCACACUGGGACUGAGACACGGCCCAGACUCCUACGGGAGGCAGCAGGGGGGAAUAUUGGACAAGGGGCGAAAGCCUGAUCCAGCAAUGCCGGGGGAGUGAUGAAGGCCUUAGGGUUGUAAAGCUCUUUUACCCGGGAUGAUAAUGACAGUACCGGGAGAAUAAGCUCCGGCUAACUCCGU
rnacentral:rRNA from 1 species